UUUGAAAUAUAUCAUCUACAUAGGAAAUUUACUAAUUUUUGUUUGAAAUGCGCAAAUAAAGGGCCGGGGUAAAGAGGUUCGAAACCGAAAGUGGUUUUUCUUAAGUAAUUCAGUAAUUCAGUGCCGUUUGUUGAUUUAGAUGGCCUUAGUUACUGGUUCCAGAAAAGUCGCACUAAGGUUAUGUUUUUGGAGUAAAUGCGUAUGUGGUAAAACGCACACCAUGGCGCUUUAUGGACACGUACGAUUGUUGUCUGUUUUACUAGGAACAUUUCUGUCCUUUUGUCUCCCUCUAUAUGAGUGUAUGGCCUUAGUUACUGGUUCCAGAAAAGUCGCACUAAGGUUAUGUUUUUGGAGUAAAUGCGUAUGUGGUAAAAGGCACACCAUGGCGCUAUUUGGACACAUACGAUUGUUUUCUAUUUUACUAGGAACAUUCCUGUCCUUUUGUCUCCCUCUAUAUGAGUGUAUGGCCUUAGUUACUGGUUCCAGAAAAGUUGCACUAAGGUUAUGUUUUUGGAGUAAAUGCGUAUGUGGUAAAACGCACACCAUGGCGCUUUAUGGACACAUACGACUGUUGUCUGUUUUACUAGGAACAUACCUGUCCUUUUGUCUCCCUCUAUAUGAGUAUGUAAGUAUAAACAUUUUCUUUACGUAAAGUGUUCAGAAAACUCAACAAAGACUAAUGAUAAAGGUGCAUUAGUAUGUUUGGCUUGAUACUUUUAUGUAAUAGCGUGCACAUGUCCCCUGUUUAUUAGUCAGCCCGCGGGCUGACUAUAUUAAGUUACUGUGUUUUCAUCAAUAUUCGUUGAACACCAAUUUUCGUGGAUUUCGUUAUUAAGUUGAUCCACGAAAUGAAGUGUUCAUUGAAGUGCAAUAUCUAUUAACAGUUUGUAUUGAUAGGGUCAUUGGCCACGAAUUUACGUAUCCUUGAAACUGUACGUGAUUUUCAUUUUAUCCACGAAGCUGGGAGUCGUCUGCAGCCACUGUCCGGAGUCCGCGUAUAUCUUCCCAACUCUCUUAGUGAGAUUGAAAAGUAAAUAUAUUGGAAGUAGUUUGCCACCAGACCAUGAAAAUAAGCUAGAGAGCUGUGUCUACAAAAUUACAACUUUAAGUAAUAAGAAGGUGUGCAUUCAUACAUUGCAUGUACACCGCUACACGCUUAACUCCUCACCUACAUGUACAGCCAUAAAAAUAAGGCUGCAAACUAGAUGUGCACCCGCAUAUAGUUGUUGUUCUGAAAACUAUUUAUCUAGUAUUUGAAUAGAUUGUGUAGUCACGUUUACCCUAAAAUUUAAAUGCCGCUGGCUGACUUUAUUAGUUUCUUAAGAAGCUAACAUUGUAGUCCAUAA